GUCCACGCCGUAAACGAUGAGUGCUAGGUGUAGCGGGCUUUGACCCCUGCGGUGCCGUAGCUAACGCAUUAAGCACUCCGCCUGGGGAGUACGGCCGCAAGGCUAAAACUCAAAGGAAUUGACGGGGGCACGCACAAGCGGUGGAGCAUGUGGUUCAAUUCGACGCAACGCGCAGAACCUUACCUGGGCUAGAAAAUGCAGGGACCUGGUUGAAAGAUCGGGGUGCUCUUCGGAGAACCUGUAGUUAGGUGCUGCAUGGCUGUCGU
rnacentral:rRNA from 1 species